GCUCGCAGGCGGUUUCUUAAGUCUGAUGUGAAAGCCCCCGGCUCAACCGGGGAGGGUCAUUGGAAACUGGGAAACUUGAGUGCAGAAGAGGAGAGUGGAAUUCCAUGUGUAGCGGUGAAAUGCGUAGAGAUGUGGAGGAACACCAGUGGCGAAGGCGACUCUCUGGUCUGUAACUGACACUGAGGAGCGAAAGCGUGGGGAGCGAACAGGAUUAGAUACCCUGGUAGUCCACGCCGUAAACGAUGAGUGCUAAGUGUUAGAGGGUUUCCGCCCCUUAGUGCUGAAGCUAACGCAUUAAGCACUCCGCCUGGGGAGUACGGUCGCAAGACUGAAACUCAAAGGAAUUGACGGGGGCCCGCACAAGCGGUGGAGCAUGUGGUUUAAUUCGAAGCAACGCGAAGAACCUUACCAGGUCUUGACAUCCUCUGACAACCCUAGAGAUAGGGCUUCUCCUUCGGGAACAGAGUGACAGGUGGUGCAUGGUUGUCGUCAGCUCGUGUCGUGAGAUGUUGGGUUAAGUCCCGCAACGAGCGCAACCCUUGAUCUUAGUUGCCAUCAUUCAGUUGGGCACUCUAGGGUGACUGCCGGUGACAAACC
rnacentral:rRNA from 1 species